AGCGAGCUCCAGGACAGCCAGGGCUGUCUCAAAACAAACCAACCAACCAACAAAAAGGAGGGCUGCUCAUUGGGUUGUUUCUAACAUACCAACAGUUCCUCUGCUUCCUCCUAGAUUUUCCAGGUGGCAUUCCUGCGAAAGAAUCUUGUAGUAAGCAUGAAAAUCAAUGGGGCAGUUGUAUCGCCCAAGUUGGUGACUGGGAAGUUAUCAGUAUAAAGACUAACGAGGAGGUUCCAGAGGUGAAGCAAGUGGAAGAAUGGGAACUACAAAGCAUAUCAAGUGUGGACAAUCUGGGUAGGUAACUGCAUUCCAAGCCUGUCUGUCAGGUUGUAACUUCUACUUGGGAUACGCUCAGUGGGUAGGUAAGGACACAGACAGGGGAUAGAUGUUUGACUGUGACCUCAUUUGCAUGUGUUCCUCACCCUGGGCUGACUUACAGGGUUCAUGAGGGAAGGGAAGAGAGAAGCCCAAGGUUCACCUUGUAGCCUACGGGAUCUAGUGUAGGAGGAGGUAUCCAGAUUCUCAGGCUCAGUUUUGGCCCUGUCUCAGGCACUCUUGUUUAAAGCAGCACGCAGAGGGUAGGUUUGGGAGUUCUUUAAACCACUUUCCAUGUUCUUAAGCCUAAGGGUGUAGAUAUGUGGUUAUUGCUUCUCCUAUCAUCUCACAUUGUUCUAACAUCCCAUGUCCUAUAUUCUUGACCUGUUUCAUCGUAUCACCAUUUCAGGUCUGUCUGUGGUCUGGCUCUCCUCUAAGCAUUCUGGGACUCCUGUGUCAUCUACUUAGGAUAGUUCAGACAUAUCUUACAUGGGGGGGGGGGGCGGCAUGAAUUUAUAAUCUGAGGAGUCUGUUUCUCCCAAAUGUGGAGCUGUUCAGAAGAACAAGGGCCUGUGCUUACCAAAGUAUGUCUCCUCUCUUGCACUCACUUACCACACAGCAGGAUUUAGGCCUACUGUUCACAGGCCACAUUUGUAGAUUUACCCCACUGAGUCCACCCUCUGUAAACUCAUGGGCUUCUGCUUUUCAGCAGUAUAUCCCACGGAGACCCAGGAGUCAUGUACACCUGGACACUCUCUGGUCAUACUUCUCCUGACUGCCUCUUACUCAUCUGCUUCUCCAUCCUAUUCUUCCUGCUCCUUCCUCUCUGUUGGCUCUGGGUAGUCUAUGGAGGGUUAGAGAUCUCAUCAUCUUGCUACCUUGUUCCUGAUCCUGAAUCCUGGGUCAGACGGGUCAGAAUGUCCACAGAAGUUUACCUAGUGUGGUUUCCUAGCCUCAGUCAUGAGUGUUCUAGGUCUCUGUGUCUGCAGGAAUUUUAUGUGCCUCGGUGUAAGUUAUCACCUUCCCCAUGAAAAACAACUCCAUUCUCUCUAUCACAAAGCUUAUCACACAGACACAAUGCCACAGGUAAUGAUAAUCAGUAUAAUUCUUAGAGACAUCAGGCCCAGAAAAAUGGACAGUUGAGUUUCCAUAGGUCAUUGAUUCAGGCCUUUUACUUGGGACAGAAGGGAAAGGUUGCUGCUGGUGAGCAGCUGAGUGUGGUGACAUAUUGUGUACCCUAAUAAAAUCUGCCUGCAGAUCAGAGAACAGAGCCAACCA